rnacentral:rRNA from 1 species
GUUGAACGCUGGCGGCAUGCUUUACACAUGCCAGUCGAACGGCAGCGCGUGCUUCGGCCUGGCGGCGCGUGGCGCGCGUGUGUGUCAUGCAUCCGAACGUGCCCAGUCGGGGGGGAUAGCCUGGCAAAAGCCGGUUUAAUACCGAAUAUGUACUGAGGGGGAACGCGGGGGACCGAAAGCCCUCGCGGUUUUAGAGCGGCCGAUGCCGGAUUAGCUAGUUGGUGGGGUAAAGGCUUACCAAGGCGACGAUCCGUAGCUGGUCUGAGAGGACGACCAGCCACACUGGGACUGAGCCACGGCCCAGACCACUACGGGAGGCAGCAGUGGGGAAUGUUGGACAAUGGGGGCAAUCCUGAUCCAGCCAUGCCGCGUGGGGGAAGAAGGCCUUCGGGUUGUAAAUCGCUUCUGUUCGGGAAGAAGGACACUGGGCUAAUACCCCGGGGAGAUGACGGUACCGUAAGAAUAAGCACCGGCUAACUACGUG